AGAGAGUGAUCCUGGCUCAGGAUGAACGCUGGCGGCGUGCUUAACACAUGCAAGUCGAGCGAAGCACUUCACUUUUAUUCUUCGGAUGCGAGGUGAUUUGACUGAGCGGCGGACGGGUGAGUAACGCGUGGGCAACCUGCCUCAUACAGGGGGAUAACAGUUAGAAAUGACUGCUAAUACCGCAUAAGACCGCGGUGCCGCAUGGCACAGCGGUAAAAACUCCGGUGGUAUGAGAUGGGCCCGCGUCUGAUUAGCUAGUUGGCGGGGUAACGGCCCACCAAGGCGACGAUCAGUAGCCGACCUGAGAGGGCGACCGGCCACAUUGGGACUGAGACACGGCCCAAACUCCUACGGGAGGCAGCAGUGGGGAAUAUUGCACAAUGGGGGAAACCCUGAUGCAGCGACGCUGCGUGAGCGAUGAAGUAUUUCGGUAUGUAAAGCUCUAUCAGCAGGGAAGAAGAUGACGGUACCUGACUAAGAAGCCCCGGCUAACUACGUGCCAGCAGCCGCGGUAAUACGUAGGGGGCAAGCGUUAUCCGGAUUUACUGGGUGUAAAGGGAGCGUAGACGGCGAUGCAAGCCAGAUGUGAAAGCCCGGGGCUCAACCCCGGGACUGCAUUUGGAACUGUGUGGCUGGAGUGUCGGAGAGGCAGGCGGAAUUCCUAGUGUAGCGGUGAAAUGCGUAGAUAUUAGGAGGAACACCAGUGGCGAAGGCGGCCUGCUGGACGAUGACUGACGUUGAGGCUCGAAAGCGAGGGGAGCAAACAGGAUUAGAUACCCUGGUAGUCCACGCCGUAAACGAUGACUGCUAGGUGUCGGGCGGCAAAGCCGUUCGGUGCCGCAGCAAACGCAAUAAGCAGUCCACCUGGGGAGUACGUUCGCAAGAAUGAAACUCAAAGGAAUUGACGGGGACCCGCACAAGCGGUGGAGCAUGUGGUUUAAUUCGAAGCAACGCGAAGAACCUUACCUGGCCUUGACAUCCCCACGGAUGCAGGGCAAUGCCUGCAGCCCCUCGGGGCGUGGGAGACAGGUGGUGCAUGGUUGUCGUCAGCUCGUGUCGUGAGAUGUUGGGUCAAGUCCCGCAACGAGCGCAACCCCUGCCCCUAGUAGCCAGCACGUAGAGGUGGGCACUCUAGGGGGACUGCCGGGGACAACCCGGAGGAAGGCGGGGACGACGUCAAAUCAUCAUGCCCCUUAUGGCCAGGGCUACACACGUGCUACAAUGGCGCGCACAGAGGGAAGCGAGGCGGCGACGCGGAGCGAAGCCCGGAAAGCGCGCCCCAGUUCGGAUUGCAGCCUGCAACUCGGCUGCAUGAAGCCGGAAUCGCUAGUAAUCGCGGAUCAGAACGCCGCGGUGAAUACGUUCCCGGGUCUUGCACACACCGCCCGUCA
rnacentral:rRNA from 1 species